ACGCUGGCGGCGUGCCUAAUACAUGCAAGUCGAACGAGAGCGACCGGUGCUUGCACUGGUCAAUCUAGUGGCGAACGGGUGAGUAACACGUGGGUAACCUGCCCAUCAGAGGGGGAUAACAUUCGGAAACGGAUGCUAAAACCGCAUAGGUCCUUUAACCGCAUGGUUGAAGGAGGAAAAGAGGCGCAAGCUUCUGCUGAUGGAUGGACCCGCGGUGCAUUAGCUAGUUGGUGAGGUAACGGCUCACCAAGGCCGUGAUGCAUAGCCGACCUGAGAGGGUGAUCGGCCACAUUGGGACUGAGACACGGCCCAAACUCCUACGGGAGGCAGCAGUAGGGAAUCUUCCGCAAUGGACGCAAGUCUGACGGAGCAACGCCGCGUGAGUGAAGAAGGUUUUCGGAUCGUAAAACUCUGUUGUUAGAGAAGAACAAGUGCUAGAGUAACUGUUAGCGCCUUGACGGUAUCUAACCAGAAAGCCACGGCUAACUACGUGCCAGCAGCCGCGGUAAUACGUAGGUGGCAAGCGUUGUCCGGAUUUAUUGGGCGUAAAGCGAGCGCAGGCGGUUCCUUAAGUCUGAUGUGAAAGCCCCCGGCUCAACCGGGGAGGGUCAUUGGAAACUGGGGAACUUGAGUGCAGAAGAGGAGAGUGGGAUUCCAUGUGUAGCGGUGAAAUGCGUAGAUAUAUGGAGGAACACCAGUGGCGAAGGCGACUCUCUGGUCUGUAACUGACGCUGAGGCUCGAAAGCGUGGGUAGCAAACAGGAUUAGAUACCCUGGUAGUCCACGCCGUAAACGAUGAGUGCUAAGUGUUGGAGGGUUUCCGCCCUUCAGUGCUGCAGUUAACGCAUUAAGCACUCCGCCUGGGGAGUACGACCGCAAGGUUGAAACUCAAAGGAAUUGACGGGGACCCG
rnacentral:rRNA from 1 species